AAGAAGUCAGGCCAGAUUAAGCCAUAGUACGGAAAGAGCUAUGCUGCCUGUGAGCCCCGUCCAAGGACGUUAAAUGAAGUCAGGCCGAAAGCCACGGAUUGAGCAA
rnacentral:lncRNA from 1 species